GAUGAACGCUGGCGGCGUGCUUAACACAUGCAAGUCGAACGAGAAGUGAAGACGGAACCCUUCGGGCGGAAGGCUUUAUUUCGAGUGGCGGACGGGUGAGUAACGCGUGGUUAACCUGCCUCAUACAGGGGGAUAACAGUUUGAAACGACUGUUAAUACCGCAUAAGACCACAGCACCGCAUGGUGCGGGGGUAAAAACUCCGGUGGUAUGAGAUGGACCCGCGUUCGAUUAGCCAGUUGGCGGGGUAACGGCACACCAAAGCGACGAUCGAUAGCCGAUCUGAGAGGAUGACUGGCCACAUUGGGACUGAGACACGGUCCAAACUCCUACGGGAGGCAGGAGUGGGGAAUAUUGCACAAUGGGGGAAAUCCUGAUGCAGCGACGCCGGGUGAGUGAAGAAGUAUUUCGGUAUGUAAAGCUCUAUUAGCAGGGAAGAAAAUGACGGUACCUGAGUAAGAAGCCCCGGCUAACUACGUG
rnacentral:rRNA from 1 species